GUGGAUUAGAUACCCUGGUAGUCCACGCCCUAAACGAUGUCAACUAGCUGUUGGGGGUUUGAAUCCUUGGUAGCGUAGCUAACGCGUGAAGUUGACCGCCUGGGGAGUACGGCCGCAAGGUUAAAACUCAAAGGAAUUGACGGGGACCCGCACAAGCGGUGGAUGAUGUGGAUUAAUUCGAUGCAACGCGAAAAACCUUACCUGCUCUUGACAUGUACGGAACUUGGUAGAGAUAUCUUGGUGCCCGAAAGGGAGCCGUAACACAGGUGCUGCAUGGUUGUCGUCAAAU
rnacentral:rRNA from 1 species